GAGGCCCGUCCGGGCGCGACCGGCUCACCUGCCUGGGGUCCAUGGCGCCCACGACGCAUGACCUGGAGCGGCGCUGGCGACCCUCCCCCUCCGGGCGCUCCCCUCCCCAGGACCACUGGAGUCACUCCUUCGGGAAGGCGACUACGCCCCACAUGCCCUGCCCCGCCCGGGACCCCCGGGGCACAACUCCCGCCCCCCCAGCCCAGUUCUGUGGAAACAGCCCGAGGCUAGGCCUCUGCCUCAGCCGCCGUCCCCCCGCCCCCCACCACUUACCCUCCCAGCAGGUUGUGAGCGACUUAAACCCACCACCGCUGGGGCACCAUUUAGGGUCUAAUGGUGACGCCAUCCCAGCACGCCUUCACAGCUCUGCCAGGUAGGCAGGCUUGACUCCCAAAUUACGUGCAAACUGAGGCCUGAGGCGGGCUGCUGAUAAACCCAGGCCUCACUCUGCACCCCCACUGUGCGCUCACUGCAGUUAGGACUCCCCCAAAGAUAACUUCUGUUGUCUGCUGGGGGAAAUUCAACUGAUCUCACGUAGGCUUGUCCAAGAGGUCAAUCCUAUGGUCAGUAGUCCACAUUCCUCCCCAGUGAGAAACUGAUUUCCUGUUUCAUCGCCAUUUCGUCCCCACGGCCUGUGAGGUCAGGAUGCCCGGCUGGUGCCCUUUCCCUCCGGUCUCCCUGGAGCACCCAACCUCCAACUCCCCAUGGGCAGUGGGCUGGGCUCCCCCUCCUGUGCGUCUGUGCGUGUCCUCCGAGGCUUAGAAUGUACCUGUGGCGCUGCUUCUGACCAAAGGCUCUCAGGGGCUGCCUCAAAUAUCCUCUCCCCAGGAAGCCUCACCCAGCUCUGGGUUGGGGAGUGGGUGCCUCUGCAGCCCCUCAUUUUGUGCUUCUCCGUUACUCCGCGCUUACCCUACAGAGCACUUUAUCUGUGCUCUGAAAAUGUCUGGGUCCUUGAACGCAGCUUCCCACACGCCUCCCACGUGCCAGGGAAGGGCAGGUGUCCUUGGGGAAGGGCAGGUGCCCUUAGCCAACAGUCUGCUGGGGAGGACCAGCACUCCCGACAAGGAUCACAGUGCCGUGCCUCCUGACAUUCUGCACUUAGUGACUGACCCAUAAUCCACUGCGUGGAAAGAAUAAUCGAUGGGUAGAAUGUAGCACAGAACUCGAUGAAGCUGGAAAGAUCAACAAACCUAUGAAACCGCGCUCGAUGUCCUCACAUUGGGGAAAUGCACGGGAAGGCCACAGAGUUACUGCCCACCCCCAGACCGGCCGCUCGACCACGUGGGCAGCAGCUCCCACUCCCUACUGGAAACCAGUUCACGAUACGCGGGACAGGCAGGAAUAUACACGCCCUACAAGUGCGCAGUCCCACUUCUACACCUGGACGCACGUACACAGAGUGGCCUUACUGGGAACAGACAACCCGGAAACAGCCCAAACGUCCAGGAAAAGUACAACGGAUAGAUGGCGGCACAUACUGGCGACGGAACGUUCCACGGCGUCAAACACCACAGAGCUGGAACCACACGCAGCACAGUGGGUCAUCAUCUAAACAGGACACCGAGCAAAGACACACUACCUGUCCACUUAUAUCACGUCCCAAACCAGGCAAAACUACAGCGGGCACCUCACAGAAGCCAGGACGGGGUCACCUUUAGGGAGGAAGAAGGGUGUUCCGACUGGGAAGCAACGUUCUGGGUGCUGGGCCGCAGCUCAUGAAGUCACAUACUUGGGCUUUAUGUACAUUUCUGCGUGGAUGUGCUACACUUCACAAUGGUAAAAGGUUAAAAACGAGAAACUCUCCGUACCUGACCCCGGCCAGUCUUCCUAUGUUCUAUUUUCCAUUUAAGUAAAAUGCGUUAGGUCUUA